CUUUCAAUCCGAAAUAGCUAACCUUGAACAACUUUUAAAAAAAUCUAAUCAAGCCCCACCAAAGUUUUUUGAUACUUAGGAAUUACUUGUCAAUUCCCAAGCUAUUGUAUUUUCUGUCAUCUUUCCAAUACUUUGACAACCUAAUCUUCAGGAAAGUUGAAUGCUUGGUCAAUAUUAAACUCUCCCCAGAGUUCCACGACCAGGCUACUUUGCCCAAAAGGUUUGGGGGUCUAGGUCUGCGCAAGUGCUUCGAAGCAGUGGAUU